GCCAUCACCGAUCAUGGCCACCAAAACAGAUGAAAGUGUAACUGGACAAAAAUACACACGACAGCGCAGUAACAGUGAUCCUCAACCAAACCUGGACGAACAAAAAGACACACUGUCUGUCAAGGGUAAUAAUAAACAAAUUUCUAUCAAAUCGGCCAUUAAACAAAGAGAAAAUGUCCCCACCCCGGUCGAUAUAAACUUUAAAAUUCCAGUUCAAAAUUUAGUCACUUCCUUUGUCAAUUUUCACAAUAAUUGAAUUGGUUGAACUUAUUAAAUCAUGUAUUGAAAAUUUUUAUGUCAAAGUUACUUCUUGACAGAAUUAUGAUUAAGGAUGUCCUGUUUUCUAUUCCAUCUUUCAUUCAAAUAAUAUGAGACUCCUAAUUUUAGGUACCUGUCACUUUGUUAGUUUCAACAGACAACAGUGAAACACUGCGUGUAUCAUUUGUCUAAUGACAAUGGCUAUUGGUAACAUAUAAAGAAAUAUGUUGCUCCUGUAUUUUGUUAUCGGAAAUUAGUCUUUACUGACAAUUUUUAAUAGACAUUUUGAAAGUUUUUUUUUUAAAUGCCUUUCAAAUUGCAUUGCUUGUAUUCUACAUGUUCUACUGUUUAUUUAGUCUAAUCAGAGACUUUACUUCAAAGUGUGUCAACCCUUAAUUACUUGUGUCACAAAUGGGGACCUCUUACAACAUCUGUGAACAACUUGCGUUUUACCUAUCUAAAGUUUUUUUUAAAGAAUUAGUUAAAUUACCACAGUUGACCGUAGGUCAGUGGCGGAUCCAGGGGGGGGUUCCGGGGGUGCGCACCCCCCUUUAUUUUUGCCGAUCAAUGCAUUUGUAUCGGGACAUAUAUUUUGCACCCCCCCUGCACCCCCCCUUUGCCCUGGGUUAGCACCCCCCCUUUCGAAAAUUCCUGCAUCCGCCCCUACCGUAGGUCAAUCAUUUUGAACUGUGACAUACAUGAACAAUAAGGUUGUGGAAUUCCCUACCAUACCAAGUAGCCUGUUGCCCAGACUUAGAAGCUUUUAAGUCUGGUGCGAAACCACAUAUGUAUUGCUAAACCAAACCUAGUCCAAAUAAUUAUGACGUCUUGAAAGGCUAUUAUAAUUUUUUCUUUGACGCCUUACAUCGACGUCAUAAUGCUGAAGCCGCCAUUUUCGUGGAUUUGAGAGCAUAUUUUGCUCUCAACUUUGAGACCCAAUUUAGCCAUCAAAUUUUCAAUGAAGGCUAAAACAAAAUGCAUAUAUUAAAAUUCUUACCUUUUAUGUGUUUGUUUGUGCAAAAUAUUUCCAAUUAAUCCCUACAGAAAUAAUAAUAUAAGUGACAAUUCAUCCGAGGCGGGAAUGUCGACUGCAUUUUUAAAACGUUUGUCUGAUUUCUUUUUAGGAGAUUAUAAAAUAAUUUUUACACCAAACUCGGUAAAACCCGAAUUUCCGGAACCAUUGUUUUACAUUAUCCGGAAAUUCAGGUUGGUCAAAAUGUACCGAGUUUGGUUCAAAAAUAUAUUUUAUACACCUUUAAUGAAGCAUCUUGAGGAGAAAUCAGCUAAACGUUUUUAUAAAGCAGUAAAUUCCCUAUCAAAGUCCAACUGAAUAUAUGAGUUUGGCGUUAUGACGUUGAUGUAAGGCGUCAAAGAAAAAAAUUAUAAUAGCCUUUCAAGACGUCAUAAUUAUUUGGACUAAACCAAACCAUGUUUUUAUCUAUAUACAAAAAAAAAAAAAAAAAUUAAAAAAAUGUUUUUUGCAAUUAUUGUAAAUAUGUUAGUUUAAUUUGUUUCCCUAGUAUGUGCCUUCUUGUAAUCUUCAACAUAUUGAAGUUAAGAAGUAUUAUGUAGAUGUAGAUGAAAAAAAAAAUGAUUUUGUGGUCAUGUCACAAUAACCAUAACCUAUGACAAGUUUACCCAGAAUUACUCGGGUCUCCAGGUCAUUCAUCAAAUUGAGAUUUGAAUCUUAGUGACAUCGGUCGUUAGGACAUGUAGGAUGUUCCAAUUUUAGUUGUCUUGGUAGGAAGCUGAAUUAUAAAAGUGUUUGUCUGAGCUGGAAUUCUGAGAUAGUUUUCACUAUGCAUGUACUUUGUGGAUGCUAAAGAUUUUCUGUUUAUAUUUCAGCUAGACGGUGUACGUAUGUCUUUAAAAAAUGAAAUUGGCCCAUUUUGCCUCCCCUAUCUUUCAGUGAUGACACUUGUACUACCAUGACUACCAUGAAUGACAUUUACAUGUUAAUUUUCACAGCCAUUAUUUCUUCAGAAGGCAUGUUGCCUGUCGUUGUGAAUGUUGUUCUUUUCAAAAUACAGCAUCAAAUUUGAGCAAAUGAUACAUGUAUAUGGACCAUAAUUUGCUAUUGGGCUCCGUUUCCUAUAACUAUAGAAAAGUGAUAAAAUGUGAAUUACUGUAAGAAAAGUUGUAACUACAUCUAAAGAUGCCAUUAUUUUUAUCAACAUACAAGUGUAUGCUACUCUUCCCUAGAAAAAAAAAUUAAAUAUACGAAUUUCAAAGAUUCUACAACCGUAUUUUUGUGUCGUUUCUCGCGUUACUUUUUGCUUCCGAAGAGCAUAACGCUGACUGAUUUAUAGAUAAUCGUCACCGGCAAAUUCGUAACUUUUGCUUUCAAAUAACAAAGAACAUCGACCAAUAAGAAUAGUGAGAAGAAAAUGCCGAGAACUAUAAGUAUUUAUGUAGCAGAUGUAAGAACAGUGGCGUGAUUUUUGUGUCCGAUUUCGUAACGCAAAUUUUAGAUGAUGUAAUCUGCUUUGUUGUAAUAGAAUUCUUAAAAACAAUAUGCAAAUAUGAACUCUCGUGAGAUGUUCAAACAGGUAAAUCAGAGAUGAUUUACAUUCUUGUUUUGAUCUUCGUAAUAAUUAAGUAAGAAAAUGACGUUAUCGUUAUGCGUUACAUUUCACACGAAACAGAAGUCCAGUUAUUUAUUAAAAUUGUUUUUGUCCUUAAGUUCUAAUCAUUUCCGGUCAUACGUGAAACAUGUGACUAACAUGUGAUAACGCCAUUACGGCCGGAUGUACGAAAUACUAGGUCUAAACAUUGUUUUUGUUUCCAACGGGAUGUUAGCAAACAUAAUCUGUAGACUUGUUUCGUCUUGUUUAAAAGAGGAAAAUACAAUUGUCAAAGAGAUUGCGCCGGUGGUCUGUUAUUUUUCCUAUGUGCAUAAUGUUACAUACGAUCCUGUGUGAAAAUAAAUGCCCAAUGACUUGACAAAAUCGAUUUCAUAUUUGACAGACGUUAGAACACACUUCGUUUCCCGAUAAUGACGUGAAGAGUCCUUGGAAAAAUCAAUCGAAAUUACGUCUCUUAUCAUUGUACCAAUGCUCGUUGGAUUGAUUUAACUUCAGCAGUAAAUAUUACUGGAUAUUUUAGGUGAAUAAAUAUAAUUUAAUAAAAAAUACAUGUUAAUAUACCGUUACACUUGGAAUGUACAAAGUUGGCAUCUUUGUCACAGUUUUUAAUUAAUAUUUUUUAUUCAUGUUCUGCAAACACUUAUCAGAAACGCAAUAAACUUGUCAAAGGAGAAGUAAACUUUUACCAUGCAUGACUUGAAAGGAAGUACUUUAUUGAUUUUUAGCCCACUAAAGUAGGUUAAAAUGUGGAAACCAUGUAGAUGGUGUACAGGUCACAAGUAUCACAUUGUGCCUAUUUUUAAAGAUUUUAAUUCAAGUUAAAAGUUUUUUUCUUUACUGGAUUUAAAGAAUGUUACAUUGCCAAUGAUUUGGAAUAAAUUGUAUAUAACUGGAAUAUCAAAACCAAAUAUAAAUACAUUUUUUUGGCUUAAACAUCAAGAUACAACGAUUAUGGUAUCCUGUAUCAAUGAAGAAAAUAUGGAAAAUUCUGAAUAAAUUGUACUAAUUGUUUUCAAAACAAGCACAUAUUUAGGAGUUUUAUAAUACUGUUACAUUUAAGAUGGAUUUUAAGAAAAAGUACUCUGUUCAGAUUAUUUUAAGCAGAUUUUGCUAUAAAAUAAAACUAAAAAAAUGCUUUCGGUUUCUUAUGGUUUCCUGUCAGGUUUAAAAAAACUUUAAUAUAACAUUGAAAAUAGAUUUUAAAUAUUAACAUGAAGCAAGUAACACUAGUAAUGGUGUUUAUUUAUGCCUUUUGAAUUAUAUUGUGCAAAAUAAAGAAAAUAAAGAUUGGUUUCCUGUUUGGUUUCAUGUCACGUAAACGGUGAAUCAAAAUGUAUUAAUUUUUUCUCAAAAAACUCAAUUGUUCCAUUCAUACUAUUCUAACACCAACACAACCCACAAAAUAAAAGUUAAAAUUUUAGAACUUAUAAAAAAGGAUACAAAAAGAAACCAAAGGCCGAAUACCAAAUUAUGGUCCAUAUUGCAAUAGUUUUCAUAAAAAUACAAUUACAUAGAAGUGAGACUGGUAUAUAAAUUAUAAUUUGGAUUGAUUUAUAAACUUGUGUAGUAGUUGUUCUUAGUAAGUAAAAUGUCCAAGUAUCAAUUGACAUAAAAGUUAUAAAUGCAUGAACUCUGAACUUUUGUAAUGUUACUCUGCAUUAGAGUAGAAACUUGUAAAUUUAUUUCCCUCACUUUCAAAUUCAAAUAAUUGACUUACAAAGGAAUUUUAUAAAGACAUUCAAGCAUUUCAAGGCAACAAAAAUUUCAUAAAACCAAAGAAAGAUUCUCUGCUUGUAUUUGAAGCAAGAGAACCUUGAGAGAAGCAUUUGAGUUUUAUGAUAACUGUAUUGCACUUGAGACAAUCAAUGAAGUCAAGAUGCAAAUGCAUCUAUACUAGAAGAUGACAGAGGAUUUCAGAGUGUUGAGAACAAUUUACAUGGGGAUUAUAUGUUUUUGUUAUAAAAUAAUUAUGUGUUUAUUUUUGUUUUCUUCUCAUACAUGUCAUAGAUCUUUGUUGAAAUGUGUCAUUUGCAUGUUACUGAACUGUCUAUUAAGAAGUAUUAACACAUAUCAAGCUUAAUAAGUUAAAUGUGACUAAUAUUUUUAAAAUCAAUCUACCACUGACAUGACAUAUUAAAUUUUUAUCUCACCCUGCUUUUUUUUAUACUACCGCAACAAUUAAAAAAAAUUUUGGUCGUAUAUUGGUAUCACAUUGUCCUCAUCGUCCGAAGACAUUUAGUUUUUGCAUUCUAACUUUAGUAAAAAUAAAUAGAAAUCUAUGAAAUUAAAACACAAGGUUUAUGACCGUAAAAGGAAGGUUAGGAUUGAUUUUGGGUGUUUUGUCCCAACAGUUUAGGAAUUAGGGGCAAAAAAGGCCCACAUAAGCAUUUUCUUGGUUUUUCGCACCAUACUUUAGUACAUGUAUAUGUAAAUAGAAAUAUGAAAUUUGACACAAGGUUUAUGACCAUAAAAGAAGGUUGGGAUUGAUUUGAGUUUUGGUCACAGUUAGGAUUAGGCCCAAAGGGUCAAAUUAACUUUGUUUGAUUUCAUUCAAAAAUUGAUAAUUGGGGUUCUUUGAUAGCUGAAUCUAACGUGUAUGUAAAUUCUUAAUUUUUGGUCCCGUUUUCAAAUUGGUCUACAUUUAUAAGGUCCAAAGGGUCCAAAAUUAAACUAAGUUUGAUUUCAACAAAAAUUGAAUUCUUGGCGUUCUUUGAUAUGCUGAAUCUAAACAUGUACUUAGAUUUUUGAUUAUGGCCAGUUUUCAAGUUGUCCAAAUCAGAUCAAAUUAUUAUAUUAGGUAUUGUGCAAUAGCAAAAUUUUUUCAAUUGCACAGUAUUCAGCAAUAGCAAGAAAUCUUCAAUUGCACAGUAUUGUGCAAUAGCAAGUUUUUUCAAUUGCACAUUAUUGUGCAAUAGCAAGAAAUAUUCAAUUGGAGUUGUCUUUCUUUGUCCAAUAGUAGUUGAAUCAAUAAUCUUUUUAUACAAUAUACAAUGUAUAUUCACUUUUACUACAAUGAUAAAUUAAAACAAUCUACCAUCAGUGAUAACAAGCACUUUUUUUACAUUUUAAUAUUUUAUGAUUAUUUAAAUGGAGUUAUUGUUGCAAACUCCAUUAGAAAUUUGAAUUGAGAUCAGUUUGGAAUAAGGGAAGGGGAUGUGAAAAAAAAUUUGAGGGGGUCAAUUUUUCUCAUUUCAGAUUCAUAAUAAAAAGAAAAUUUCUUCAAACUUUUUUUGAGAGAUUAAUUCAACAGCAUAUGAAUGCUCAAAGGCAAAAAACAAAUUUAAGUCAUUAAACACUUCAUUCUGUGUCAGAAACCUAUCUGUGUCAACUAUUUAAUCACAAUCCAAAUCAGAGCUGUAUCCGGAAUGUGUGUGCAUACUAGCCCAACGUUCAGGGUCGACCUCUGCGGUCGUAUAAAGCUGCACCCUGUGGAGCAUCUGGUUAACUUUGUAACUGUUGUUAAUAGGCAGAUAUCACUGUUUAUCAACAGCAUUUUUUCUGGUGGGUUUAAACAUAAUCAUUGAAUGAAGUCAUAUAUAUAUAGCAAAUUUAUGUAUUGGAAAGCUGAGCUAUUGAUUAUAAGGCCUAGGUCUACUCAUAUAAAUAAAUCUGAGUAAAUGUAUAAUACAUUCAUCCUUGUGUUUCAGUCCCUGAAUAGGUUUACUAUUGUGUCAUUACAUACAUGACAUUAGGGUCCAGGCAAACAAAACUUCCAGACUAGUCAGACUCUACAGGCUCACUUGAUUUCAAAACUGAGCAAAAUGUAGACUAAUACUUUGAUAAAUUCUGUCUAACCAGAUUAGUUAUAAACUUGACAGUCACAUAUUUUUGUACAGAUUGAAAUAUAUUUAGUUACAGAAAAGUUUUAAUCAAUAUCUGCAAUUAGCUAAUCAACUAUUUCUUUCAAGGUUAACCAUCUGUAAUUUAUAAGAAUUUAAAAAUUUAAAAUGAAUUAUAGUGUUUCAAACAUGUAAAUGUAAAAAAAAAUUAUUAAAAAUUUGGCAAUUUUUAUUUUCUGCAAAGCACUCAACAUGAAGAUAUAUAAGAUCAAUAGACAUGCGCGCCUAUAGGUACAAUUCUUUUGUUCUAGUUUUUUUUUAUAAAGUCUAAAAGAAGGUUGAUUUGCAGAGCCUCAACACAAACACCUUAGCUUUUGCUGCUUAUGGCUUUCACAGUAAUAAUAUCUUAAAAUUAAACUAUGACUGGUACUGUAUUAAUCUCACACAAAACUUUGCAGGAAUUAUGUAUUUGUUAAGCAUACUAUUUAGCACUAAUUUGCAAAUGUAUUGCAGAGGAGUUUAAAGUGCUGUCAGAUUUAGAGCUACAUUUGUGUAAAUUAUAAACUCAAACUAAAAUUUAAAAGUUUUGAAAAUUUGAAGUUAGUGCACUUUAAUUUUCUUACGACAUGCAUGAUUAUUUAUGUCACAAAAUUGGAUUGGACAAAAUUACGGAAUUGAAUAAAAAAAAUUACAUUUACAUGUACAUGUAUGCUACAAUAAAAGAAAAACAUCAUGGACAUUAAAUCAUACUUUGAAAUAAAAUUAUCCAAAUAAAUAAAAUUAAUGGAGGUUAAGAAGGUGUCAUGAUCACCACUGUCACAUUGUUUGGAUUUUGUAGGCUUUGUCUGUCCUGAAUAUAUAGCAGAAGCAGGUAAAAAACAUUGACAGGUUCAUUAGAUCUAAGCUAAUGGUGGUCAAUUAGACUAUUAUUAACUCAAGUGCUACAAAUAUUUUAUGGAAUUUGUGUACAUUUUACUUCCAAAUGCAGUUUAUAAUUUAAAAGUGGAAUUGAGAACAAGAGAAAAUAUUGCAAAACUUUUGUAAGAAUGACGACUGAGAGUAAUACUGUAAAUUCAGAAAUUAUUGCAUGGUUUUUAUUUAUGCAGCUUUUCCCUAAAUAUCAAUGAUUAAUCUCACAAUUUUGUUCAUUCUUCAAAAAUUGCAAUAUUAAAAUAAAAUGCAUACAAUGAUUUCUGAAUUUACAGUAUUAAUAGAUUUACAACUGAACCAUGCACAGAGAAGAAGUUUUACUAGACUAGAUGUACAGAACAUGCUCCUUUAGGGGCUGAUUAAAGGGGGCCAGGGUUCCCAGGCCCCCUUUUUGUAGGAAGAAUUUGGUUGAUUAUAUAUAGGGAAUUGCGUAAGCAUGACUGGGCCCCUUCUUUUAAAAAAAAAUCUGGAUCCCCCCACUGUCCUUGAAACUCAGCCUCAUGUGUUUUUCUAUAUGGGCAAAUAUGGUGAAACUUAUAAAAUUUAACAUUUAUUUGUCUGUAACAUUCAUGUACUUGUAUCUGAUUCCUGAUGAUUUUUUGAUAAAAUCCUAUCCUCUUACAGUUAGUGACAGUUNNNNNNNNNNNNNNNNNNNNNNNNNNNNNNNNNNNNNNNNNNNNNNNNNNNNNNNNNNNNNNNNNNNNNNNNNNNNNNNNNNNNNNNNNNNNNNNNNNNNNNNNNNNNNNNNNNNNNNNNNNNNNNNNNNNNNNNNNNNNNNNNNNNNNNNNNNNNNNNNNNNNNNNNNNNNNNNNNNNNNNNNNNNNNNNNNNNNNNNNNNNNNNNNNNNNNNNNNNNNNNNNNNNNNNNNNNNNNNNNNNNNNNNNNNNNNNNNNNNNNNNNNNNNNNNNNNNNNNNNNNNNNNNNNNNNNNNNNNNNNNNNNNNNNNNNNNNNNNNNNNNNNNNNNNNNNNNNNNNNNNNNNNNNNNNNNNNNNNNNNNNNNNNNNNNNNNNNNNNNNNNNNNNNNNNNNNNNNNNNNNNNNNNNNNNNNNNNNNNNNNNNNNNNNNNNNNNNNNNNNNNNNNNNNNNNNNNNNNNNNNNNNNNNNNNNNNNNNNNNNNNNNNNNNNNNNNNNNNNNNNNNNNNNNNNNNNNNNNNNNNNNNNNNNNNNNNNNNNNNNNNNNNNNNNNNNNNNNNNNNNNNNNNNNNNNNNNNNNNNNNNNNNNNNNNNNNNNNNNNNNNNNNNNNNNNNNNNNNNNNNNNNNNNNNNNNNNNNNNNNNNNNNNNNNNNNNNNNNNNNNNNNNNNNNNNNNNNNNNNNNNNNNNNNNNNNNNNNNNNNNNNNNNNNNNNNNNNNNNNNNNNNNNNNNNNNNNNNNNNNNNNNNNNNNNNNNNNNNNNNNNNNNNNNNNNNNNNNNNNNNNNNNNNNNNNNNNNNNNNNNNNNNNNNNNNNNNNNNNNNNNNNNNNNNNNNNNNNNNNNNNNNNNNNNNNNNNNNNNNNNNNNNNNNNNNNNNNNNNNNNNNNNNNNNNNNNNNNNNNNNNNNNNNNNNNNNNNNNNNNNNNNNNNNNNNNNNNNNNNNNNNNNNNNNNNNNNNNNNNNNNNNNNNNNNNNNNNNNNNNNNNNNNNNNNNNNNNNNNNUAAUAACCAGGCUAUCUGGACCAUGUUUGUUUGUCUUUUUUGUAUGAGGAGUAGGUUGUUAGUUUGAACCGGUCUAUUUUAAUUUCAUAUACAUUUUGUACUUGUUAUCUAUUUAUGUAUUAUUGCCUAAACAUUUUUAAACUGCAACAUCAAAAUUUAGCCUGAGGGAAUUUACAAUGUACUAUACUCUGACCAUGAUCAAUUAUGUAAACAUGAAACAUUUUUCCACUGUUUUCCUUUUAUGUCAGAGGAGAAAGAUGAGUAAGGGAUUCUUGAUUCCCCUACACUCCCCAUUCCACCCCUCUACUUCAAACACAAUUUGAGCAUAUCCUUGCUUUUUAUUUCUCCUCUUCUCUGGGUUCCCUCCCCUUCCCUGCUUACUGCCCCUUAUUCCUAGCUUCCUUUAUUCCUGUCAAACCUCCAUUGGUGGUAUACAUAACUUCUUUUAGCAUCCAUCAUGUCCAUAAGAUUUAUAUUACCAUAUGCAGAUUUAGAUUUUCAUUCUGUAGGAAAAUCUUGCUAAAGUAUCAAUAUACAGCCACAUCAAUGGAAUAGGUUCUUAAAAAUCUGAUGCUAUCACCUAUUCCAUGGAUGCUAUGUAUAGGUGCCCCAUGCUCUUUUGUACACUAAAGAACCAUUAUAAUAACAACCCUCUAAAAGUGUGUGAGGUAGCCUAUUGCUAGCAAAAUUUUGCCCCUAUCCCAACAUAUCCUAAAUUCCUAUUAGCAAUUACUUUGUUCUAGUCGUCCCACCAUUGCAGUACAUACCUACUGUAUUAAGCUAAUUUAUGCAUGAUAUUAAGCAAGAUACAAUCAAUCAGCCAACCAAUCUGACCUUAAAGCCCAUGUUUUGGGUUCUGUGAUAUACAUGAUAUACAUGUAAAUGGAUAUGAAAAAUCUUUAUUUUUGCUUUUCAAGUUUGAUAGUAAAAUUGUAAGUCUAUUUACAUUCAUGACAUUGCAGAUCAAUAUAAAAGCAGAUCUUGCAGCAUCAAUUUUCAUCAUACAGAAAUAUCAUGCUGUUUAAAUUUAGCCAAUUUUCUGCUUAAAAGGUUAUAUAUAUAUUGUAGACUAUUGUUCAUGUAAUGUAACACUCUCAGUGAAGUUAGUUGGAAGGACUCCAAAGAAAACGAUACUUUAUAUGCAUAAUUGAAUACAUCCCUAAAAUAAAUAGGGAAGAAUACAAAAGGGAAAUUUAAGUACUUUUUAUAAUAUUCUUUGUCGAAAUCAAAUCAGUUAAUAUACUCUUUCAUGGGAAUUUUUUUGUGGAUGGUUAAGAUGUUUUGAUCACCAGUAAUAGUAAAACAAAACAAGAUCACUUAACUUUGAUUUAACUUUACAUGCAUGCUUUUUGAUACAUAUUAAAAUAAGGAGAUGGUAUGAUUGCCAAUGAUACAACUUUCCACCAAGAGUCCAAAUGAUGUGGAUGUAACCAACUAUAGGUCAUUAUAUUGUCCUCAACAAUGAACAAAGCACAUACAGGUACCAUAUAGUUAGCUAUAAAAUGUCCAGACACUGUCCUCAACAAUGAACAAAGCACAUACAGGUACAAUAGGUUAGCUAUAAAUUCCAGAACUGUCCUCAACAAUGACAAAGCCAUACGUACCAUAAUUAGCUUAAUGUCCAGCCCACGCCUCAACAAUGAAAAAGCACAUACAGUACUAUAGUUAGCAUAAAGUCAGACACUGUCCUCCAAUGAACAAAGACAUACAGUCCAUAUAGUUAGCUUAAAAUGUCAGGACACUGUCCUCAAAAUGAAAAAGCACAUACAGUACCAUAUAGUUAGCUAUAAAAUGUCCAGACACUGUCCUAACAAUGAACAAAAGCACAUACAGGUUACCAUAUAGUUAGCAUAAAAUGUCAGACACUGUCCUCAACAAUGAACAAAGCACAUACAGGUACCAUAUAGAUAGCUAUAAAAUGUCCAGACACUGUCCUCAACAAUGAACAAAGCACAUACAGGUACCAUAUAGUUAGCUAUAAAAUGUCCAGACACUGUCCUCAACAAUAGAACAAAGCACAUACAGGUACCAUAUAGUACUAAAAAUGCUCCAGACACUGUCCUCAACAAUAAACAAGCACAUACAGGUACCAUAUAGUUAGCUAUAAAAUGUCCAGACACGUCCUCAACAAUGACAAAGCACAUACAGUACCAUAAUUAGUAUAAAAUGUCCAGACACUGUCCUCACAUGAACAAGCACAUCAGGUACCAUAUAGUUAGCUAUAAAAUUCAGCACUGGUCCUCAACAAUGAACAAACACAUACAGGUACCAUAUAGUUAGCUAUAAAAUGUCCAGACACUGUCCUCAACAAUGAACAAAGCACAUACAGGUACCAUAUAGAUAGCUAUAAAAUGUCCAGACACUGUCCUCAACAAUGAACAAAGCACAUACAGGUACCAUAUAGUUAGCUAUAAAAGUCAACACUGUCCUCAACAAUGAACAAGCACAUCAGGUAACAUAUAGUAGCUUAAAUGUCCAGACACUGUCCUCAACAAUGAACAAGCACAUACAGGUCCAUAUAGUAGCUAUAAAAUGUCGACACUGUCCUCGAACAAUGAACAAAAGCACAUACAGGUACCAUAUGUUAGCUAUAAAAUUCAGACACUGUCCUCACAUUGAACAAGCACAUACAGGACCAUAUGUUAGCUAAAAAGUCAGACACUGUCUCACACAAGAAAGCAAUACAGUACCAUAUAGUAGCUAUAAAGUCAGACAUUGUCCUCAACAAUGAACAAAGCACAUACAGGCACCAUAUAGAUAGCUAUAAAUGUCCAACACUGUCCUCAACAAAUGAAACAAAGCACAUACAGUGUACCAUAUAGUUAGCUAUAAAAUGUCAGACACUGUCUCAACAAUGAACAAAGCACAUAACUUCCAUAUAGUUAGCUAUAAUGUCGACACGUCCCAAAUGAACAAAGCACAUACAGUACCAUAUAAGAUAGCUAUAAUGUCCAGACACUGUCCUCAACAAUGAACAAAGCACAUACAGGUACCAUAUAGUUAGCUAUAAAAUGUCCAGACACUGUCCUCAACAAUGAACAAAGCACAUACAGGUACCAUAUAGUUAGCUAUAAAAUGUCCAGACACUGUCCUCAACAAUGAACAAAGCACAUAAGGUACAAUAUAGUUAGCUAUAAAAAUGUCCAGACCACUGUCUCAACCAACUGCAAUGAACAAAGCACAUACAGUACCAAUAGUAGUAGCUAUACAAUGUCCAGAUCACUGUCCUCAACAAUGAACACAGCACAUACAGGUACAUACUAGAUAGUUAAUAAAAAUGUCCAGACACUGUCGCUCAACAAGAACAAAGCACAUACAGGACCAUAUAGUUAGCUAUUAAUGCCAACCUUCCUCACAAUCCAAGCCCAUCAGGUAAUAUAGAUAGCUUAUAAAACUGUCCAGAACACUGUCCUCAACAUGAACAAAGUAAAAUGUCCAGACACUGUCCUCAACAAUGAACAAAGCACAUACAGGUACCAUAUAGAUAGCUAUAAAAUGUCCAGACAUGACAAAAUGUGAAACCAUUCAAACAAGAAAACUAACGGCCGAUAUAGUCAAAUUGAUUUCUCUGCUUACUCUUAUUAUUCAAACAGAUAAUUUCAUCAUAAGAACCUUAACAUUUCAACUUUGUAUAUGUAAUACAUGUACCAUUUCUUGGAAGAUCUGACUUUUCUCAUGUUUUUUUUUUUUUUAUUUGAUCUCAUAUUCAGAUAUAUUGUUUCUUUAAAGCCAUGUGUAUGCAUUUAUCAUCAUUCAAAAGGAAUUUCCUGUUAUGGAUAUUUUCACAACUUUCAACCCCUUGUCAAUUUCGUUUUGAAUGAAUUUUUUUUUGUUAAUUGAUUACUUUUGUCCUUUUUAAGAUCAUAUUUCAUUAAAUUAAAACAUAACCUCAUGUUUAUGAAGAUAUUAUUACAAUCACAGAGGGUUCAAGGUUGUUUUGGUAAAAAUGAUAAUCAUGAUAAAAGGUUUGAUUUAGUAUGGGUUAAGGUAAAACAAACAACAUGGGACCAACUAUAUAGGUAUAAGAAAAAAAGAAGAUGUGGUAUGAUUGCCAAUGAGACAACUGUCCACAAGAGACCAAAAUGACACAGACAUUAACAACUAUAGACUACCGUAUAGGGUUUAUUGAACAGAGUUCUUCAUAUUACAUAAAAGCAAUUUUAACCUUUUUUAAUUAUUUUCAGAAAUGUGUAGGAGUAUGUACUUCCCUGUAGAGUUUAUAUUUUGGCUGUGACAUUUCACUUCUCUAAACUUAGGAAUUUGAUUUAAGAUUAAUAGGAUUUUGAUGAUACAUGUACUUCACAAAAAAAUAGGCCUCUGACUCUGAUAUUUUUCACGAAUAUUGAAGGAUAGAAAUGGUGCAUGGGUAGUAGUUCUUACUGUAGAUUGCAUAUAAUAAAUAUUGCUUUCAAUAGAAAAAUGGUAUACCAAACUUAUCAAUGUCCUAAUGUCCAAGGUGACUGGUCAUCAACCCAUACCAUACAAUACCAUGCAGUUGUCCCUUGUAUUUCUGUUUCAAUUUACUAGACUCUGCUUAUUUAUUUCCACUUCAAAUUCAAUGAAGUAUAUUAUCAUAUGCUAAAAUCUUUUGACUAAGACAACAUCUUCAUGGUCAAAGUCAUACAUUGUCCUCAAUCUCAGAAACAGUGUAAAGACAAUAACAUUUUUCUGCUUUCUUAGACGUGUGGUAACCAAAAGGAAACUGUUCAGUUCCUAUCUAGAUCAGUAGUAUAAGUAGUGAGCCAUUGUAAACCCUAGUAUGUAUCUCGGCAGCCACAAGUUGUCAUAUAUUUAAAUUUGUUCUGGAAUGUAAUGUUGUGCGUGCCAGUUUGAUUUUGUUUAACAUUAUUGAGUUGUUUGUUUGGCUAGAGAACAUGUUAACAUUGUCUAAUGUUAGAACAUGUUCAUCCUGUGACUGGUAGUUAUGACAUGUUGUGUUGGUGUCUACAUAUGUAGGUGACAGGAUACAGUGUGAACAUUACCUGUUAGAUUAUCAUACACUCUGUCACUGAAUACUUGGCAGGAUCUCACAGCUUGAAUCUGUAACUUUGUAAGAUUCUUACAGUUGUAAGGUCACGAAGUAGCAGAUCUAGUUACAAUAUAACUCAUUCAAAACUUUAACUAUUCUCAGCAGUUUUAAACUUACAGGUUAAAUCUAUUAGUCUCACAAUAUGGUCCAAUGGAAUAAUGUGUGCAUCCAUCAGUUAGUGUAACAGAGUACUUGUUUUGUUAUUGGUAAUUACAUGAACAAUUUCAAAUUGAAAGGUCAAAUGUCAAAGUAUGAUAGGAUCAUCUUCUUUAAGUUUCUAGCAAUCCUUCAAUUAUCUGCACAUUGUUGGUAUGCAACAAUAGAUUUUCUAGGUAAAUUUAUGAAUUCUCUUAUGAAUGGUUUCAUGUUUUAUCAUGCCAGUGCCUUUGUAUAGCUUUUUAUGCAGUGUGGGUUUUGCUCAUUGUUGUAGGCUGUACUGUGAUCUGUAGUUUACAUGAUCCUUGUCCUUUGCUCAUUGUUGUAGGCUUACUGUGAUUUAGUUUCAUACCUUGUCCUUUCUCAUUGUUGUAGCUGUACUGUGAUUGUAGUUUUACAUGAUCCUUGUCCUUUGUCAUUGUUGUAGCUGUACUGUGAUCUGUAGUUACAUGAUCCUUGUCCUUUGCUCAUUGUUGUAGGCUGUACUGUGAUCUGUAGUUUACAUGAUCCUUGUCCUUUGCUCAUUGUUGUAGGCUGUACUGUGAUCUGUAGUUUACAUGAUCCUUGUCCUUUGCUCAUUGUUGUAGGCUGUACUGAUCUGUGUUUACAUGAUCCUUGUCCUUUGCUCAUUGUUGUAGGCUGUACUGUGAUCUGUUUUACAUGAUCUGUCCUUUGCUCAUGUUGAGCUGUACUGUAUCUGUAGUUUAAUGAUCUUGUACUUUGCUAUUGUGUAGGCUGUACUGUAUCUGUGUUUACAUGCUCUUGUCCUUGCUCAUUGUUGUAGGCUGUUACUGUGAUCUGUAGUACAUGAUCCUGUCCUUUUGCGUCCAUUUUUGUUGUAGGCGUACUGUAUCUGUAGUUUACAUGAUCCUUGUCCUUUGCUCAUUGUUGAAGGCUGUACUGUGAUCUGUUGUUUACAUCAUAUCUUGUCCUUGCUCAUUGUGUAGUGUAGUUUCUGAGUUUACAUGAUCUUGUCCUUUGCUCAUGAUGUAGCUGUACUGUGAUCUGUGUUUGUUGUUGUACUUGCUCAUGACCAUUGUUGUAGGCUGUACUGUGAUCUGUUGUUUACAUGAUCUUUGUCCUUUGCUCAUUGUUGUAGGCUGUACUGUGAUCUGUAGUUUACAUGAUCCUUGUCCUUUGGUCUCGUGUGAAUAGUUGUCUUAUGGCAAUCAUACCACAUCUUCUAAAUUUUUAAAUUAACCAGGUCAACUGGAAAUUAAAUUUCAAAGACUUAUCACUUUUCAAUUAUAGUGUUUUAAUUUCAUUCAUACUUUAUUUAUAUCCUGUAAUUAGUCUGUCAUGUAAUGGGACAGUGACUUAGUAGUAUCAAUCAUACAUGUGUCAGUUAAGGUGUUCAUUAGGUAUACUUCUGUCAUUUAUAACAGAUAUACCAAAGCAUGGGAACUGGGGAGUAGAUUGAUCUUUAAUUAAAGGUUACAAAACACAAAUCUCUCAUUUAAUACAAGUAGUCAAUAAGUUUGUGCUAUUUAAUUUGAAGUUACUCAGAGAUUAUUGUCUCCUGUGCAAUGUGUUGGGGGACAAAGAAAUACUGGGUGUCCAUCCAGUCUUGAUAGCACUUUUUUUUUUAAAGAGUUUUGCUCUUGGAAAUAUUGAUUAUUUGGAAAAUUGCAUUGUUAAUGCUCUCAUAUAUUCAAUUCAUGCCAGAAUUUUAAGAAACUAUUAUAUCAUUGUUUUACAUCAGCAAUGUCAUUGACAAUUCCAAAAUAAGUUCUGGUACAUCCAGUCUUGUUAGCACUUUUUUUAAAAGAGUUGUGCUCUUGGAAAUAUUGAUUAUUUGGAAAAUUGCAUUGUUAAUGCUCUCAUAUAUUCAAUUCAUGCCAGAAUUUUAAGAAACUUAUAUCAUUGUUUUACAUCAGCAAUGUCAUUGACACUUCCAAAUAAGGUUCUGAUCGAAAAGUAAUGCCCCUUUGAAAUAUUAGUUAUGAAGGAAAUCACAUUGCAUUUCUCUGAACUUCUGAAGCCUUCAUUUCUCUAAGAUAUCGAUAAAAGCGUUGGUUUUAUUUUAGUUAUUGCCCUUGUACCUUUGAUAGAUAAGGUAUGUGCAACAGGGGGAACUUUGGAACUCUGUUCUAUUAUUAUCUUUGUCUUUGACUUUUAAACAAGCAAGUACCGGUAAGAAGGCGUUUGUCAAUUAAAUUUAGCAGAAGACAUUCAAGCGUGAAGAUCUUGCAAACCAUUCGGCCCUCUUAAGAUUAUUAGAAAACACAUAAAGUGUACUGAGUAUAAAUAAUUCCUUAAUCUGCUGACUCUUAUCCUUGCCAGGGUAAAACUUGCAUCUUGGUGUUGAUAAAUCAAAAUGAUGGUUUAUACUAUAAAAUUUCAGGGGUCUUGAAUAAGUGUAAGGUCUCAAUUGGACAUGAAUAAUUCAUUAUUGUUUUAUGUAAAGUUUACAGGUAAAAUAGCCUAACCCUGAUGGGACAUACGAUUAGUCAGAUUUAUAGAUAAAUGACAAUUAAAUCGCUACAUGUAUAAGGGUUAAUUGACUGGAAAAUAAAUUAACAUUUAAUAUUCAAUCUACACAUUGACAUAUAUGUUCUAUGAAUAUAUAUUUUAGGGUUUGGUCUGUAAUUUUCUUCUCUGAUUCAUAAAGGUUAACAACUUUAUAUAUGUCUGUGUAAUUGUUCUAUUGUCAGUGAACAUUGUUUGUGUAUUAUUUUUUUUUACAUUUCUGUUGAUUUUAAAUGUGAAAUGUAUGCUUUGCUGGUUUUUUUUUUAACUCCUGAUUGGCAUUUUGACAUCGUUUAAGUGUAAAGUCUUGCUCAGAAAUCUUAAGAGCCGGUCAUGACAACUUAAGUUUUGAUGUUCAUGCUAAGAUGUUCAUUUAAAAUCUAAUUAUAUAUUGGAUUAGUUAAUGAUAGAUUCAGUGACCAGGACGUAGGUGAUAAAUCAAGGAAAUGAUUUAAAUGGUGUUAUUCAAACUCUAAUGAACGUUUUGCAAGGUCAGUUAUUAUCAAACUUUUGUUGUUACUUUGCAUUUGUCAACCUUUCGAUUGUACAUGAAAAUUUGAUGAGUUUUUGGUACACAACUUUAAAGAAAUAAUGGUAGUUGUAAUAUCUGAACCAUCUACUUUAUAUUGUUGACAUUUAUUUUAACUUUUUCUUCCUGUGCAGAAUACAUACAUGAUAAGAAAAAAUCCCUAUAAGGAAAUUGUCUUUUUGUUAAAGAAAUGAUUAUCUUGUCUUCAAUACUGUAGAUUCAUUAAUAUUAAAUAUUUGUGGAUAUUUUAUUUCACGGUUUCACCAAUCUCUGUAAACAAAGCCUAUUGAGUAAAUGUAUUCGCUGAACAUUUGAAUUCGUGGUUCACCUGUACCCACGAAAGCCACAAAAAUUGGUAUCCAACGAAUAACAAUGAAUCCACAGUAUCUCAUUUUCUGAUUGUCAAGAUGAGUUUAUAACCAUAUAGCUCAAGGAAUUUUAAGGUGGUAAUUUCUGAUGUUAAUGAUGUUGAACAACUUUGACCCGCUUUUGUUUUUGUGAAAAGUUGAAGUUUGUAGAGAUUCAAUUUAAGCUGCAAUUUUGGUAAAACAUUUGAGUGAUUGGUCUUAUGAAAGGCUUAGUGUUCAGGGUAAGCACAGUAAUAACUUGGAAAGUUUGUCUGUACAAGGAGAUUUAUUACAAGUUGUUUAUUACAUAUACCUAUCUUAUCUUUGUUUAAUGUUAAAAGUUAGUACACAAUAUUGACCUGUGAGAUUAUUGUGUUAUUAAGGUCUUUCCUCUCCGCGAGGAAAGACCUUAUUGUUUUUCUCCUGUUUUUUUUUUUUUUUUUUUUUUUUUUUUUUUUUUCAUCCAGCAUUUCUUUGACAUGGCCUCCCCUCGUUUCUAUUGAAGUUAUCAACACCAAAUAUGGACCAUCGGUGGAACUCAUCAUGAAGUAUUACCAGAUGAGGCUGUGUAGGAUUUCAUCAUCCCCUUUAGAAGUUAUCUCCCUUUUAUUGUUUUUUUUCGACAUGGCCCCCUUUCGUUGUUUUUAAAGAUAUCAUGACCUUAUUAGGACAACAGUUAGAUCUCAUCAUGAUGUGUUACCAUAUGAGGCUGCUAAGGAUUUCAUUAGUCCCUAUGAGAGUUACGUCCCCUUGAAGCAAUUUCUUUCUUUUACAUUUUUCUCAAAAAGUAUUCAAGAUAGAAUUGAUUUGAAAACGGCAACAUGUACAAGACCAGAUGGCAAUGUUAAUUAACAUAUACACUCAUUUUAUUGUUAACCCUUAUAAGGAUUAUUUCUGAAAAAUAUAAAAUUUAAAAAGUUGUACCGAAACGAAGUGUGAAUAUUGGGACCUACACCAAUAUCUUAAGUUCAUCAUGACUUUAAUUUGCACCAAGGUCAAAGGUCACCGAUGCAAAAAAAAUACGCUGCAAUUCAAGCUUUCAUAUAAGAACGUAAGAGUUGCUGCUUACUUACGCGUAUAAAAUGUUCCGCUGCGAGCUACAUUUAUACACGACCUCAAAGAUCCGACGUCUUUCAAAAGUUACGACGUAUUCUUAAAAGUAAGUAUGGUUUACGUUUAAGUAACAAUUCAACACUAUAAUGCAAGAUGAUCAGUAGUCAGCCUUCAAUUAGAGUCAAUGUCAGUCAUGAUGAAAUUUCACUUACCUGCAUUUUUACUAUGACCUUGACCUUGUAAUAUUGAAAGGUCAAGUUUCCUGAGUUGAAUGUGAUAGUCCCAGUCUACGACUUCCGGUUCUCAAGUUUUGUAUUGCAUCAUAUAUUUAUGAUUAAUUGUGACCUUGGUGAACUUUGAAAUUGCAAUUCUUUUUCUAAAUGUUGUCCUUCAACUGUAGAUCAUUUAUCAUUUAACAGAUUGAGAUAUCUAUUGUCGUUUAGAGAUAAUGCAGUUUGAAGUUUUCGAGCGGAGCAUGUAUUUCUGAAUGAUCAAGAGCUUACCACUAAAUGUUUAGAAAUGAAGAGAUUGACAUAGUUAUAUGUUUACCAAAUACCAAAAACAUUCCAUGGAAAAAAACACCAAAAAAUCAAUUUGAAAUUUUCAAGUUUUGCAUUGACUUAGUAAGUUUCAAACUUUCUAUAUUAUAUAAUUGAUAUUGCAUCAUUAUUGCACUUUGUCAAUGGGUCAUCUGAUAUAUCAAUUGAAGUCUUAAUAAACUCUACUUAAAAAUGAAAAUUUUAAAACCCCCUUUUCAUCCAAGGGACGGGGUCAUUUAGUGCAAACAUUCAAAUUUCUCCAUGUAAGGUUGUCGAUAUCAAAUGAAAGAACAUAAAGCGUACAUUUCAAAUUAAUUGACGUCUCCCAAAAAUGGGUUAGAUGGGUCAUUUAAGUGCAAAAAUAAAUGUUCUUUUAAGUAGGGUUGUUGUAUAUCAAAUGAAAGUCAUGAUGAUGUACAUUUGAAAUAUCAAAUUCCCGACCUCGAAAAUUUGUUGGUAGGGUUAUUAAGUGCAAAAAUCAAACUUUCAAGAACAUGGUUUCUCAUAUCAAACGAAAAGCUCAUCUACUCUGUUCCAUAUCAUAAUUCCGAUCUCAAAAUGUAGACGGAGGAGGUCAUUAAGUGUAAAAAGCAAAAGUUCAGAAGUGUGUUGUCGUAUAUCAAACGAAAGGUCGUACAAAGUACAAUACGAAAACAUCACUUUUACAGGAAAGACCUUUCAAUUGUUUUACAAACAAUUGAGAUACUAGUUUUUCUGCUCUGUUUUUCUGAUAUGAAUUUUAAGGUUUAUUACUGAUUAAGUUUACUAAUGGGGUUUUAGAGCAUUGUGUAAUUCAGCAAAAAUAACCCCCGUUUCUCAUUAAUGAUAAAAUGAUUUGUGCCUGAUGUGAUGUUGAUCUGAUAAACAAGCUAUAUAAUUUGGGUGGUAGAUUUGUAUUGAUCAGCUGUAUAUCUGAUCAGCUGUGUAUCACAGUACACCUUAAUUCUAGGUGGGAUUUAUAUAUCUGUUUCUGUGGAAAAUGUUCACAAUAGUAGUCAAUAACAGAUACUUAUUUCUCUAAUUAGAAAGCAAUUUUUGUAACUUUGUCGUGGAAAGAUCAUUUUUAUCCUUAUUGUUUUCGCUGAUUUAGUUGAGGAGUUAUAUAUGAGUUUGCACUUUUUUGGGAGUGUUAAUAAAAUUCUGUAAAAUCUAUGCCUAUUUAUGAAAAUUUACACUGGUACUUCAGUUAUAUGUAUACAGUCUCUACUGUUUGGUUUGGUUACGAAAACUACUUUAAAGCAUAAUUUUUUGUCAACGAUUAGAUGAAUUAGAAUUAUUUACUGUUAAACAGUACACACUAUCUCAGACAGAAGUCAGAUUUAGUACAUUACGUUCGUGCAAGUAGCCCCAAGUACAUCACGUUUUUCUCCAUUCAAUUUGUCAUCAUUUAAUAUUAAGACAUAUUCAGAAAUCUGCAAGCUAACAAGAAACCAAUGACAUCUAAUGUCUGUGUCAGGUUCCUUGAAAAGUCCUUAUUACAGAAAUUAAAAUACUAACAACUAACAGAAGUUGUUCAAAUUCUCAAAGCCCUUUGGUGGCUGAGUAGUCAAAUUAGUUCAACUACUUAACCACUAACUUGCCUGUCAAUACUGAGGAAGUCAGUUUGAACCCUGCAUGUGGCAGUUGCCUUUGACUCCAUCCUUAAUUGAGUGUGAUUGCCGUCAGGUAGGUAGUUCUCUUCAGGGCACCCUGGCUUCCUCCACCAAGAAACUGGUACUCAACACAAAAAAAUGUAUCGAAACUAAAUAUGAAAUGUUAAUCCAUAAUGUUACCAAUAAUUUUCAAACAAGAUUUUUCAUUCUUAGACUUAGCAUAUUAUAUAUGCAUUGGUUCCUUUGUUGUUUUUGUGUUUCCUCUUUGUCCAAGUCAGUUUGUUGGUAAUUACAUUUGUAAUCAAAGGUACAAUCAAAAUCAAAUGUUUACCUUUAUGUUAAUUAAUGUGCUUUAAUUAUAUAAUAUAUAUAUUUUACAGAAAAACAAAAAAAUGGUGAAGUUAAAACAGCCUCCUUAGGUCCAAAUACACCACAACCAGAAAAAAGAAGUAAAUUUUCUAGCUUUGGUAAAAUAUUUAAACCAUGGAAAUGGAAGCGAAAGAAGAAGAGUGAAAAGAUAGAAAAAACUGCUGUUGGUAAGAGAUAUAUUUACAGAUGUAUUAAGAAAAGUUUGAUCGAUUCACAAGUGCAAUUGCCAUUGUUGGUUAAUACAGUUAAGAUGUUGGUACUGACAACACUGCACUCAAUAAAGGUGUAUCUAUUGUACAAAACAGGGGGUAUUGGUGGCUGAGUGGUCCAAGUAGUUACUACUGUAAUCACUAGCCAGUCAACACUGAGGUCGUGAGUUAGCACCCCACUUGUGCGGGUGCACUUGACUCCAAUCUUAAUUGACAAUGGUUUUCUAUGGGCACUCCGGCUUCCUCCACCAAUAAAAACUGACCACAACGUAAUAGCCUAAUCUGGUGCUUAAAAGUGGUGUUAAAACACCAAAAAUCAAUCAAUCAAUUGUGCAAAACUUAUUCUGGACUCAAAAUAUUUACAGUUUUUGGACAUCAUUCAUUUCAUUUACUACAAACAAAAAGAUGAAUUUAGACUAUGAUCCCUUCACCAAUAUACUUACACCAUUGUCUGUGAUAUAGAGUAGUGAAAAUAUAUUACUGAUUGCUUCCUUACACCAUAUUUUUGCUGAUUUAGUAAAAAAAUAAAGAAGAAAACAAUACAUUGUCCCCAGUAAAUACUGUCCUGAAAUAAGACACCUUCAUAGCAUAUCUAAGACUUGACAAUAGUACUGGCUCUUCAAUAUAUUCAAAUAGUUGAAAACCAAAUCUAAGAACAUGUUUAAGUCUUGAAAACAUUUGCUAUGAUAUCAAAGUGUUAUAAUUGGAAAGAUUCAAAAAGCACCUGGUGCAUGUUUCUAAAAGAGCUGCAGUUCAAAUUGUGAAAUUUGGGUCCUUGCUCACUUUUCAAAUUGACCAUGUACAUAUAUAUUUUAAUUUUUGCAAAGCCCCUUAGUAUGCCCUUUAACAUUUUGUUUAACUAACUCCAACAGUUGUCUUUUGAUUUGAACUGAAAAUGUAAGCUUACAAUUGACUGUGAACCACAAAUCUCCUUAGGACUUAAACAAGUUUUUAUAUAAUUGCUUAAUACAAUGCAUUAAUAUACAUAAUCAAUAUUGGUGCUGAUAACUGUUUGUAUUUUAUCAAUUUUAUAUGCAAAAAUGUCAGGUGAGGCAUACAAGCUUUUGGAGCCUCCAGCUUCAUGGUAAACUAAAACUUCAAAUAAACUUGUGCAUUAGCUGAGUGAGAGGAGGAAAAGGGCAGACAUGUUUAUGAGUCAAAAUGAAAAUUAAUUUAUAGACUGUCUUUAUAAAUGAAACUGAACAAAUUUUCAUAUGUAAGAAAUGUCAUUUUCAUGUAUUUUAUUCAAUUUCAAAUAUGCUUGUCUACUGCAUAUAUUUCAUUUGACCUGAAUGUUUGAACAAAACAGGAAAUUAAUUGAUAUUAUAUCAUAUUACCAAUUUUAUAAUAGUUGUAGUAACAAGAGUAAUUUUGAAAUUGUUUUUUCUGUCUGUCAAUAUUAGAAUGAAAUACAAUAAAUUCUCCCCAUACGUUGUUAUCCAAUGCUUUCUGGAAUUGAUUUUAAGACUUUUGUUUCAUGAUGAGUGAUUCAACAGUGAGUUAUAACCUUAGUCACAUCAAUAUUUUCAUGCUGAAUGGAAUAAGUUGGCCCUAGGACAUCACUGCAUGUUAUAAUUGAUCUAUAAUGUCCAUUUAGAUGUCAUUGUCUUUAGCUGAAUGUGUAUUUCUUCUCUGUAUCAUAUUCUGUAUACUAAAUCACUGUGUCACCAGAUUAGUGGUAAGUGUGUCUCAAGAAAAAAUACAAAUUAAUCACCAUCUUUUAUUUCCUUUCUUAUAAUUAACUGUGUCAUAAAUUGUUCUGUUGAAAAUUGUGCUGACUCAGCAUAUAUUUUUCGAAGAAUACUCUAAAGGGCCCUCAAAAUAAGUCAUUACUGAAUUGUGUCAGUGUACAAAGUCUUGAACUUGUAAAUUAUCAUUAUACUUGACACAUGAUCCAUUAUUAUAUCUCAUUGACACUGUGUGCUUUUAGUCAGUGUGAGGUCAUAUAUAUUGUAGAGGCAGGCAAAUCAUUUCUAUAUUAGGCCUAGGUCAGGGUACAAAAUUUUUGCCAGGGUACGAAAUGGUUUUUGCCAAGAUAUGAAAUGGGGGAUAUGAAAAAGUUAGGGUACUAAAUGACUAUAAUUUGCAUGAAGAUAUCUUAAUGUCCAGUUAACCUUCCAAGAUUUAUAUUAAAGUUAGCACUGUUAAAUAAAUGUGUGCAACAAUUAAUAAAAAACAAAUAUGUUAGUUUUUGGUUUUCCCUUGUUAGUCUUUUGUAGAAAUCUUGAAAGCAGAAAUGUAAAAUUGGAAAGGAUAGGAAAUAUUUUUCCAAGUUCCUGAAUGGGUUUAUUGAUACAGUUGUGACAACCAAUAGGAUAGUUUACUAAAGUCAACAUUUACACUAACAAUUUUAUGAAUUAGUUAUAAAAAGUUCAAGUAUCAUCUGAUGGUUUGAUUUUUGGCCCUAUUUCAAAUACUGAGAUAAAAGAUGUUGGCUAAUUGACUAAUUGUACAUGAGUAUGAGGAAAAAGCAACCCAAUGACUGAAAUACUCAAAAGAGGGCAACAUAUAGUAUUCAACAAUAGACAGGUGUUAAUACACUAUGACAAGCUCUAAAUCAUCCUGAUCUACCAAAGUUGUCAAUUCAUUUAACAGAAAUAAACAAAGAUCAGCCAUUACCACCCAAUUCUUCAAAUAAUUAGAGAUAUUUAGAUAUGACAUACAACAGCAUCUGACAAGUAUACCUUUGCUUCUAUUUCUAGGAGCAGUCUAGAUCAUUGUUACUUAUUCUGGUAUUUUGUCAAACCAUCUGUUGCCAGUUUUUAUACGACCGCAAAAUUUGAAAUUUUUUCGUCGUAUAUUGCUAUCACGUCGUCGUCGUCCGAAUACUUUUAGUUUUCGCACUCUAACUUUAGUAAAAGUGAAUAGAAAUCUAUGAAAUUUUAACACAAGGUUUAUGACCACAAAAGGAAGGUUGGGAUUGAUUUUGGGUGUUUUAGUCCCAACAUUUUAGGAAUUAGGGGCCAAAAAGGCCCAAAUAAGCAUUUUCUUGGUUUUCGCACUAUAACUUUAGUUUAAGUAAAUAGAAAUCUAUGAAAUUUUGACAUAAGGUUUAUGACCACAAAAGAAAGGUUGGGAUUGAUUUUGGGAGUUUUGGUUCCAACAGUUUAGGAAUUAGGGGCCAAAAAGGGCCCAAAUAAGCAUUUUCUUGGUUUUCGCACUAUAACUUUAGUAUAAGUAAAUAGAAAUCUAUGAAAUUUAAACACAAGGUUUAUGACCAUAAAAGGAAGGUUGGUAUUGAUUUUGGAGUUUUGGUCCCAACAGUUAGGAAUAAAGGGCCCAAAGGGUCCAGAUUUAAACUUUGUUUGAUUUUAUCAAAAAUUGAAUAAUUGGGGUUCUUUGAUAUGCCGAAUCUAAUGUGUAUGUAGAUUCUAAUUUUGGUCCCGUUUUCAAAUUGGUCUACAUUUAAGGUCCAAAGGGUCCAAAAUUAAACUUAGUUUGAUUUUAAACAAAAAUUGAAUCCUUGGGGUUCUUUGAUAUGCUGAAUUUAAAAAUAUACUUAGAUUUUUAAUUAUUGGCCUAGUUUUCAAGUGGUCAAAUGGGGGUCCAAAAUUAAACUUUGUUUUUGAUUUCAUCACAAAUUGAAUAAAUGGGUUCUUGAUAUGCAAAAUCUAACUGUGCAUGUAAUUCUUAAUUUUUGGUCCAGUUUUCAAAUUGGUCUACAUUAAGGUCCAAGGGUCCAAAAUUAAACUUAAGUUUGAUUUAAACAAAAAUUAAAUUCUUGGGCUUAUUUGAUAUGCUUUAUCUAAAUAUGUACUUUGAUUUUUGAUUUAUGGGCCCAGUUUUCAAGUUGGUCCAAAUCAGGAUUCCAUAUCAAGUAUUGGCAAUAGCCAAGAAAUUUUCAAUUGCACAGUAUGGCACAAUAGCAAGAAAUAUCUAAUUGCACAAUAUUGUGCAAUAGCAAUUAAUUUUCAAUUGGAGUUAUCUUUCUUUGUAUAGAAUAGUAGUUGAUAAUAUAUGUUGGAAAUUUGCCAGACAUGACUAUGAUGUCAUUUUCUAUUUUUAUUUGCCAAUAACUUUAUUAAAUAACUUCAUUGGAAAUUUGCCAAUAUAAAAUGUUGCUGAUGAAGCUUUUUUUCCUUAUCUUAUCUAAAAUGUUUUUAGAUAAUGUAUGUUGGACAUUUGCCAGACAUGACUAUGAUGUCAUUUUCUAUUUUUAUUUGCCAAUAACUUUAUGUAAAUAACUUCAUUGGAAAUUUGCCAAUAUAAAAUGUUGCUGAUGAAGUUUUUUUUAUUGUUUAUACAAUAAACAAUGUAUAUUCACUUUUACUACCAACCAAUCUUUACCAUUCAGUGAUAACAAGCACUUUAUUUUACAUUUUAAUAUUUAUGAUGUAUUUAAAAGAGUAGUUAUUGUUGCAAACUCCAUUAGAAAUUUGAAUUGAUAUCAGUUUUGGAAAAAGGGAAACGGGAUGUGAAAAAAAAGGGGGGGGGUUAAAUUUUUCUCAUUUCAGAUUUCAUAAAUAAAAAGAAAAUUUCUUCAAACAUUUUUUUGAGAGGAUUAAUAUUCAACAGCAUAGUGAAUUGCUCAAAGGCAAAAAAAAACUUUUAAGUUCAUUAGACCACAUUCAUUCUGUGUCAGAAACCUAUGCUGUGUCAACUAUUUAAUUUUAGAUUUAAAAAGUUUGAAGAAGAAAUCUUUAAUUGAUUUGUAAAAUCUUGACAUUUGUUUUGUGUAAAAAAAACCAAUGUAAUGUCAAAAAUUUGAUCACAAUCCAAAUUCAGAGCUGUAUCACGCUUAAAUGUUUUGUCCAUACUUGCCCCAACUGUUCAGGGUUCGACCUCUGCGGUCGUAUAAAGCUGCGCCCUGCGGAGCACCUGGUUUGUAUUCAUUUUUCAUUUCUAUAAGCUACAGAAAGCCUACUUAGAUUAAGAUGCUACCAGUUAAAAAAAUAUUAAUAAGAGGUGGCAAGUAUUUACAAAAGGUUACAUGUUUCAAACAUUAUAUAGCAUGAUAUCAUACAGUAAAUAUUGAUACAGAUCAUUGAAGCAGGAUAAACAACUCUUAUUUUAUACCAGUUAUUAUUUAACCGUAUAGUACAUCAGAACAAUCUUUAACUCACUUAAUGGUGUAUAACAACUAAGAAUAAAGGCUAGCUUUCACAAAGAUUAUUGUCUUUUUGUAAGUUCUUUCUUUAUGAUUUUGAAAGGUGGAUACAACAAGAUUUUAUGUUUGGUCAUAGCCUUAUACUAGUUGUCUUCUUUUUACUAGAGAUAUCUAUUUAAUGGUUGUGUCUCUUUGUUUUCUUUAGUCUGCACUAUGAUUUUAUGUGGUUUUCAGCCAAGUCAGCCAUCUGUCAGUGGUUGUGCAGGGCUCAAGGUUGUUCAAUGACCUUGCCCUUCACUUGUUCUUUGAAUGUCUGAGAUGGUGCUGUUGCCAUUUCUCUGUGAGUCUGCUUGUCUCUGAAAUAUUGUUACUUUUUGUUCUUCAGAAUGUUUAUUUUAACAGUAUGGAAAAAAAGUAUUCGAACAGAACAAAUAUCAGUUAUGGAGUUUGAAUAAGAUAUCAAAUAAAUGAGGGCGGAUUUGUUUCAAUAAAGCAGAUUAUAAAAAAGUGUCUCAAGUUUGUAUAAUCAGUAGAAACUAUGGUAAUAUAUAUAUCAAACUAUAUUGUGACUUGGAUGGAGAGUUGUCUCAUUGGCACUGAGACCACAUCUUAUAUCUAUAUAGUUGUUCAAUGGUUAUACCCACAAAAUAGAAUAUUUAUACCUGCUGGAAGAGACUAUGAUGCUUUAUUAGCUGUAGACUAAUAGCUGGUCAGGUUUUAUAACAUACAAAAGAUAAUACAGGCCUCAGUCUUGGUUCAUUGGUGAAACUUUUUGUAGCUUUCAUUUAAAUUUGUGUUCAGGUCAGUGUAAGGGAAAGUGUGUAAUAAUUAUGCUAAAGCUUUCAGAUUGUAUGCACUCACAAGAAGAAAAUAUGGUUCUAAUAUAUAUAUAUAAUAUAUAUAUAUAUAUAUAUAUAUAUAUAUAUAUAUAUAUAUAUAUAUAUAUAUAUGCUGUACCUUAAGUUUUUUAUUCCAACUAAAACUUUUAUUUUAUAGGUUUUUGUUUUUCUCUUUUUUAGAGCUUGAAAGAAAGAUUUCAGUUCGAUCAACCAGAGAAGAAUUAAUCAGGAAGGGUGUAUUGAAAGAACCAUUGGACAUAAAACCAUCAACACAAGAUGGCCCCUCAAUUGAGCAGACGUCAGCAGAAAUCAAUAAUGACCAAAACAAAACCUCUACAGUUGUAGUAGAACAAAACCAUGUGGACCAAAAUAGUAAGUUUCUGACAUAUUUUAGAAAGUGACUGGUGACUUUUAACUGUUGGUCUAGUUGUUUGUAACCAGAAUAAUUCAGUCCCUCCUCGUAAUCAAUCUCUACUACUUGAGAGGGCCUGAACUCCUAACACACUAAGAUUCCUUAUCUAUUCUGUACUUCUGUUGGUGUCUUCUGGGAGAGGUCCCAGUAACUGUUUCUAGAUUAUUUAUGCUUCUAUGAUCUCAUAGCCUGCAUAGCUAGAGUGAGAAUUAAACUUGCUUAAAUCUCAAUGUUUUCUAUUAGCCAUUUGAUAUAAGGGUACUGUAAUUCUACAAUUAUCAUCCUGAUCCACAUAGAAAUUAAUUAAGGUUUGGGGUAACCCUCAUUAAAUGAUAUAUAAUUAAUUGUAUCUACAUGAUCUAGGGAGAAUACUGCAUACAUGUAAACAAUUUUACUCUGCAUGAGGCAUAUCAGUCAGAGAACUCAUACUUUGUAUUAAAGACUUGAAAGAAAGUUGAGAUAUUAUUUGGCAGUGUUACUUUAAAGUUGCAGUGACCUUAAUUUUCUUUUAUCAAGAUCACUAGCUAUGAAGUAAGCUAUGAUUACAGAUGACACCUACACAUAUAAUGAUUUGAUCAGAAAUUCUGGUUAUAAUAAACAUCAUUCUAUACCAAGUAAUGUCGUAUGAUGAUAAACUUUGUCAAGAGACUUUCUGUGUCAUAAAAUAUUUAAUUGAACAAAAACAUUUAUAUUGUACAUGUUUACACCUGAGUUGCUUUUGGUUUUACAAUUUCCUCACCAUGAAAUUUCAACCUAAAUUUUUGAAAUAGUUUGAAUAAGAAAAUGAUAAAUACAUAAAUGUAUUUAUUAUAAAUCUUUAUUGUUUAAAUUUAUUUCCUUGUUUUGAUUUUUGAGGAUUUACAAUAUCUGUACCAGGUAACAGGUAGAGGUUUUAAUACCUGGCCACAGAAAACAUAACUAUAGACACAUCAGUGUUUGAUUAAUGGAAGUGUACAGAUAACAACCCAAAAUUACCCAAGCAUAUUAUUUGGACAACAGAAAUUGACAUGGAUUUCUCUCCUGUAAUGAACAUGUGUAACGUUUUCAUGGGUAACAGAUAAGGAAUAUAUUAAGAUGUACAUUACAAUAGCAUCUUAGGUGUGACUUUUACAGUACAAUGGGGUCAGGCUGUUUUAUGUGUUGUCUGUGCAAAGGUAUGUUUAUAAACUAAUUACACACAUGUGUAGGGUAUGUUAUUAGAGCUAAUAGCUGUAAGGUGGUUCACUUUGUAAUAUUCUCAGUACAUUAACAUAAAAAUGACUCAUUUAAGAUUAGAAAUUAACAUGAUUAAAAUAAUUCAAUGUUUUCUGGUUUAGGAGUUUAGCUGACAUCAAAGGAAGCAUAUUUGUUUCUUGAUUAUAGAGUAGGUUUCAAUCAACAAAUCAUUUGCAUCUUUAAAGACAUAUCUAAGAGACAGUAACUCAGCAGCUCAUGGCACAUAGGGCUAUAGAAAAAACUAGAUGAACUUUUUCAAUGGAUAAGUGUCACUUUUGUGCGUCAGCAAUAUUAAAUAGUUUGAAUUUCUUUGAGACCAACAAACAUCUUACCAGUUCAUCAAUUUAAUAUAUUCCUCUGUUUAACGCUGAGUAUUAAGGCUGAACUACUUUCUGGGCUAUCGUAAUGAAAGUUAUGUAAAAUUAAACAUUCCUGAUCAUUAGUUACAUAGAUGUUAUACCAAUGUAAAUAGAUAAAUAAAUACCAAUAACAACAGGCUUAAUUGGGUCAGGCUCAUCAAAAUGCUUUGGCCUUACAUUUGACUUUCCCUUGUAAAAAACAAGUAAUCUAUUGGAAAAAAAACAGAAGGGGGGAUCUUUUAAAAGACAGUUCCCUCAAUAAAAGAAUAUUGAUACUGCAGAAAACAAAACACAGCUAUAUUAAGAGGUUGGAAGAAAGAACUGUUAUCUUAAUGUUCAGGUCCAAAAUUAAUAUAAGCUCUACAUAUCCUUAUAUAACUUAAAAGGUUGUAAACACAAUCACAAAUAACAAAUGUAUGGCACCAUCACCAACCAUAAAUUCUCAAUAGAUAGAAAUAAGGGGGGAGGGGUAUGGUACAUAAAUGAAUAGGUUGUUUUCUGCAGUCUUUUAAAACUCCAUAUAAAAUGGUAUUUGAAAGUAUUCUUGUUGUUCUGUCCCUUUAAUUGAAUACAGUCUAAAAAGAGAUUUGUGUUAUUAUACAAGUAAAGGAAUUCUACAUUAAUUUCUCUUGGUUAUUAGUAAUGAGUAUUGUUAUGGUAAAAAUCUAGAAAUGCGUAGGAUUACAAGAGAUUGCUUCCUGAUAUCACGAUCAAGUGUAUCCCACGUAUACUUCAACAUCUAAAUGGAUUGACUUGGAGAAGCAUCAUUUUUAUUACUUUGUUGGUUAUUGGACCAGCUCUUUAGUGUAUAAAUCUAUGCAUUGUUGAAAGACCAUAUCAGGCAAUAUGUUUACUUGUGUACCUGAAGUUUGCUAGUUCAAACAAAUUCAGAGCCAUCAGCAUUCUUCAAUUAACUUCAAAGAUCAUAAAUACACAAAAAUCUGUUUAUUUUAGGAUAGUUGCCACAGUAUUAUAGAUAUUUAAUAACAUUAAAAGAUCUGUUGCUAUCGAAAAAUUUAAAAAUAAUUGACCUUAAUUUAGAUGUCUACAAGAUGUAUAUAAACUUUUAAGAUAGCUUAUCAAUACUAUCAACCUUACCAACAAUAACUAUUCUGUUCAGGAACAAGGUUACUCUUUUUACAGAUGAAGCCCACAUCCAGAUUUAUUAAAAUUCAUUUCAUGAACAUGAAAAAUCCAAUAACAAUAAUUGGUUGCUUGUUAACCGGAUUUUCUAUGAAAAUAUCGGUUAUUGAUUUACGGAUGUACGGCGGGCGGGUGGUUGGUCUGGUGGGCAGCAGCCAAAUGUUGUCCGUGCAUUUACUCCUGAACCAUUCUACGAAAGCUAUUAAAAUUUAAAUAUGUUGUUACUGAUGACAAAAUGGAGGUCAUGUUCAAUAAUGACAAUUUUGACUUUAACUGUUCAAGAGUUGUGGUUCUUGAAAAAUGGCAUUUAAAGUCGUGUCCGUGCAUUUACUCAUGAACCCUUCAAUUUUGAAUUUUUUACGUUCAGUUGUUAUGGUUCUUGAAAGAAUGAAAAAUGGCCUUUUCAGUCGUGUCUUUGCAUUUACUCAUGCACCAUUCAACCAAAGCUUUUCAAAUAUGAAUAUGUUGUUACUGAUGACAAAAUAGAGGUCAAAAUUGAUAUUGACGAUUUUCGCUUUUACUGUUCAUAAGUUAUGGUUCUUAAAAUUUUGAAUAAAUGGUGUUUCCAGUAAUGUCCUUGCUGUUACUCAUGAACCAUUCAACGAAAGCUUUUCAAAUUUUAAUAUGUUGUUACUUUAACUGAUAACAAAAUGGAGGUUAAGUUUGAUAUUGAUGAUUUUCACUUUAACCAUUCAGGAGUGAUGGUUCUUGUGAUAUUGAAAAAUGCCAGGACACAAAUAAAUGUUAAUAAAUCCGGUUUGCUGUCGCUGUGACAGCCUCUUGUUUUAGAUUUGUUUUGUACUUUGAAAUAUGGCCACCUUACCAUUCUCAGCUUAAAGUUUUGAUCAGUUUCCCUGUUACUUUAAAGCAGUUGUUCAUACUUUUUUUUAGGUAAAUUUGAAUAAGUUUUGAGAAGCUUAAUGAUACAAUGGUAAAAAGUAAAAUCACAAAAUUACUGAACUCAGAGGAAAAUUUAAUCGAUUAUGAAUGGCUGCCAAAAAGCUUAAACAAUGAGAAAAUGUACUCCCAGGAGUGGAAUAUCCAUAACGUUUGCAUUAUAUUGCAUAAGGACUAUUCUAUUGAUAAAGGUCCAGAUUAAUAAAGUUAAUGGACAUCUAACCUCUAUUAAUUUGAACCCCUGCUGAGAUAUUGCAUAUUCCAAACACUUUAUUGUAUUUUUCAAGUUAAAAUCCUACAUCAAAAUUGUGUUUUAUUAAUAAAUCAGAAAAGUCAAGUACUUUUGUAUUUUCUAAGUUUCCUCAAUUAUCAGGAUCAUACAAGUGUCUAACUUGAAUGUAAAGAAUCAGAUGAUUGGUAUUGUUUCUUUUGACUACCUGUAAACCAUCUCAAUGAUCUGAACAUUCAUUUAUCAACACAGGGGUGUCUGUUUCUACUGAACUCACACAUGGUCUUCUAAAAUAGAACUAUGGCAGUGACUCAGCAUAACUCGUUGCUUUUCAAUCAAUGAAUAUUUGUACAAUUGCAAUUUAUUGUUCUUUAAAUCACUUUUAUAAUGGUAUAGCAUGGUCGUCAUUAUAGAAAUGGACAUGUGAUAUGUUUGCCAAUGAGACAAUUAUCAGCAGAGACCAAAUGACAAGGAUGUAAACAACUAAAGGUCAUGGUAUGACCUUCAACAAUGAGCAAACCCAAACUGUAUAGUUAGCUAUAAAAGUUCAGCUCAUGACAAAAUUGGAAACAAUUUAUAUCUGAAAACCAAGUGCCUGAUUUAUGCAAAAAAUUAAUAGGACAGAAAGCAACCAAGGAUAACCACUGAAUUACCGGUUCCUGACUCGGGACAGGUACAUACAGAAUGUGAUUCAGGACAGGUACAUACAGAAUGUGACUGGGUAAAGCAUGUUUGUUGGUGCUUAAACUUCACUCUUUUUUUUCUCAUAUUGAUUUUCACUUUCAGAAUAAAAUUGAAGUAGUAAAAAAUGGGGGUAAAUUCUUCUUCACAAUUUAUUGUACGUAUUUUGUCCUAAAAAGGUUAUGCAUGUGACCCCUUAAUUCCACAAAAUUUCAAUUUGAAAAUCAAUUUGAAAAUAGUUCCACUAUUUUAUCUGUGCACUGAUUCCUUAUAAGAAAUUGCUCUGUAUAUUUUUAAAACAAAAGUACAUUCUUUAGUCGACCAGAUACAUUUCUUUUGCCAAUUAAUGUUUGUAAAAAUAGGCUUUCAGUUUCAAGAUGCAUUAUGUAUAUCAUCAGGAUAUUAAUAAUUACAUUGCUGCUUGUGUAAGGGAGAUAACACAGCUACAUAAGCUGAAACACAAUUUAUGGUCUAAAUAAAUCUUUUAGUAGCAUCUUUACAAAAAUGUUGUUAUGAUUAAACUGAUUGUUGUAUAUUAUCCUCUUUGGGUUUAUCUUGUGUUGCUAGGUUGCUGUCCAAGUUAUCUAUUUCCUGCAUCUCCUUUAUUCUUAUUUUAAAUUGAGAGUAUCACUAAUCCUGAUUGGAUAAUACUUAGAUUUUUUUGUCGACUUCAUAGUUAAACCUUUAAAAGAGUAGAUUUUAGAGUGCUACUAAUGUUGCCUAUGGGGCAGAUAAUUAAAUUAUAUAUUUUGCCUUCUUCUAGGCAAAGAAAAGAAGAUAAAGGAGUAGGGGCACAUAAUGUUUAGAAAUGCAUCGGGUCAAGAAAUAUAUUAAAUGAAAAACAUAAAGAUUUUUAUCUGAUGAUGUCACAAUUACAUCAUAAUAUGUACUGUUUUCACAAAAACGAUGAAAAAAUACAGAAUUUAUGCAGUUUUCUAUCUUUAUUUCCUUUGUGGAAACAUCCUGCGCAGCCAAGAAGCAACAAAAUAAUUUAACAGAAGCUUUAUUAUAACUAUUGGCAUAAUCUCACCAAAUAUAAAGUUGUUUCUUGGGUGUGCACAUACUUUUUCAAUCUAAAAUAUACUUAAAAUUUGGUGAAAAAAACAAGGAAAAUCACAAAAUUUAACAUAAUAUGCAAAUUAAGUCAUGAUUUGUUGCCAUGGUUACUUGUUCGGUAUCAAAUUUGUUUUGUUUUUCUUAGUACCUUAUACAAUGGUCAAGUUUUCAGUUAUUUAAGAAUAUGUAUGAUAACUUUUAAAUUUGCAGUAAUUUUUGGGCCAAAUAAGGGCCUUAUUGCCCCUACUCCUUUAUUAUAAGUCAUUGAGUAAAAAGUGCUGAUGAAAAUGGGAUUUUAUUGUUUUAGUUUAAUUUAAUACAUGCAGUACAAUUUGAUGCGUUAGUAUAUAAAUUGUGUUUAUUUGAAGUAGUGAGUUUAAUUAAAGGUUUCCCUCAUGUUAGAUGUGGAAUUGAAGAUUAUCAGAAUUUGACUAUAGGACUACCGCAGUUACUAUGGUUACCAAUUGUCCAGUAGCCAGCACUUUGUGAUUGUUGAUUGUUGGUAAAUUCAAAAUUUUGUGGGUUUGGGAUGAUAAAAAUAUAUGGAGAACCCCUUUUUCAAUUGAUUGAAAUUUUAUGGAAUGUUUCUGAGCACUAGUGAGACAGUUCAAGUUUAAUUGUGUUCUAUUCACUUUUAUCUUUCCAGAGUUGUUGUACUAUAUUGUUUGUUAAUUCAAAACUAUGUUGUUUUUCAGAUAUUAAAUGAGGAGCAAUUUAAAUCAAUUAUACAUUAUGUUCUUAAAUAUGAUGGAAAUGUUUGUGAUGUUUUGGACCUUUAAGUUUACUUUGAACAAGAUCACCAACAUUUUUGACCUGAUUUUUUUGGUGUAUUAACAUCAGUUUUCACUGGUGUAUAUGAAUCCUGACUAAGAGACCCUGUGAAAAUGUUUCUUUGUUAGCUGAAUGAGUUGCAUUUUGUGUAAUAAAUAUAUAACUGAGAUUUAUGAUUACAAAAUAAUAUUUAAUUAACAAAUUCCCAUGUUAUAUCUAUCUCAAUCCCACAAUGUUUUAAGUGUCUUGCUAAAAUGAAUACUAAUGACCAACUUUCAAAAAUUCGAUCAUUUGUAACAGCUUAUUACUAUUUUUCAUCAGUGAAAUAUUUGUCUUACCUUUCACACUUGUUUACAUUGCUUUUGUGAAGUAAAAGUUGGCAGAGUAAGACAGCACUAUUUUACACCUACUACCAACAUGAUGUAAACAUUGUACCUGCUGAUCAAGAUAAGGAUUGUCAGCUAGCGUUACAUAACUGCUUCAUCUUCUUAAAUAUGAUGGUAAUGUCUAGAGCUACAUGUAAGUUUCUUUCUCUAUCAAAUAUUCUUAACUUAUUGAAUAUAAUAUAUUAAAGUAUUUUUAUGGUAGUUUUGUAAUGUUAAACUGGAAGAAUGAUAGAUCCAUUCUUUAAAAAAAAUAUCUUUUUAAUGAGAACUUUGAACUAAUCAAGCUAGGUAAUUAGGUAAAUAUUUUGCUAAUUGUACAUGAUAAGGAGCAUGUUUUGAGAAAUUAGAUGAUGUUUGAAUGUGUAUCAGAAAAACAGAAAUUAGGUAUUGCAAGAAUUUAUCUAAAAAAUCUAUUUCUGUUUAGAAAUUCAAAAUAACAAAGCAUGGAGAAUUGAAAAUAAAGAGAUUCUUUGUUCAUAAAACUUGUCAUUCCUCACAGGGAAAAGAAACAAUAUUUUACCUGCUUUAUGGCAUACCAGAAAUUGUUUUUGCUUUCAGACACAUUAAUGGCAAUUUUUAACUACUAAAUAAUAAAAUAUAAUUCUAUGGACAAUAGAAAUAUUUUUCCAAUUUUGAUAGGACUUAAUCUAAUUUGAUUUCAAUAGUUAUUGUCAUAAUUACACAUUUUAUAAAUUAUUGCAACUUUCUGAAUAACAAGACAUAGCAGGAAGUAUUUCAAUAAUUGGUUAUAUACUUUCCUUGUAGUGGUAGAUAAUUGUUUAUUUUAUUAUCCUGAUAUUUAUUUUCUAUAAUUUGUCCUUUUUCCCAGAACCUACCACAAGCUAGCAGAAUAUUUAGGUUAGCAGACCAAAAAUGGUUACAGUAAGAAAAAGGGAAUGAAUUUUUAAAAUCAAUUAAAAAUUGGAUACAAUUUGACUUAAUGUAAUGUGAUAAGAAUAUGAGUUGCAAUCUGAACCUUCCAGUGGGAACAUCAUUGUUGAACUUUCUCCUUAUUGUUUAAAGAAGUAUAUAUUUACUGUUGUUUAUGAAUUACCAUAGUUACUGUUGAAGAGGAUGAGUGUAGAAGCAUUGGUAGUUACCUUAUCACGUUUUUGCCAGAUGUAAACAGAUCUUACAUUUUAUACAAUAACCACAUAGAUGCUUCAUUUUUUUGUGUUAUAGAAUUUUUUCUUGAGGUUGUCAGUUCAUUUUGAAUUUUAACAAGAGCCCUUAAGUACGUACCAUACCCAUUUUGAAUGGCACUUUAUAUGGAUACAGGAGUAGGUGCAAUAAGGAGCUGUUUGACCUCCAAUUUUAAGUCCAAUAGAUAACGAUGAAAUAUGUUCCAAGUGGGAGAACGUGAAAGUAAACUGUUGUAAACCUUGACCCAUACUGAAUUCUAAGUCAUGAAAAAGAAUUUGACCUUUAUGUACAUAAAGGUUCAUAGUAUUCUCUCACAGCAAGAGCCCUGAUUUUUUGUCAACAAUAUAAGUUUUCUAGGUAGAAUCCCAAACAAUCAGCUUAUCAAAUUUUUGUAACAGUUUUGUUUCUUUCAUUUCCAAAAUUAAUGUUCAUGUCUUUUGGGUCUUUUUUUUUCAAUUUAAUCUUUUAUUGAUUUUUGUGUUUAUAAAUUAUUUUAGUUCUGUCUGUUACAAGCAUCAGAAUUCAAUGAUUAAAAUGUAUAGCUUAUAAGGAAGUGGUUUACUAAUAUCUUUGACUAAAUGAUGGCAAUGUUUCCAUGGAAAUUUAUGUUUUACAUAUAGUGCUAAUUGUUAGCUUUCCAUUCAAGUGUCUUAGUACUUUGUUUUGUCAAAUUCUUCACAGGUGUACUUGAAGGUAAAUGUUUUCUCUUUUUCUCUUUGUUUAUAUGAAAAAUAUAUGGGUUUUUUUUGUUGUUAUUUUGUUGAUUAUAAUACGAAAAUAUUGUAAUGUAUUAAAGCUGAAUAAGUUUUGACUGAAUCCUAUCUUAAUUCAGUGUUUUAUUAUUUUUAUUUUUUAUUUUAACAAACAGAAUAUAAAUACAUUUUGCUUGAAAUUGUCUUUUUUAUUUUUAUUAAAGAUAUAUUCAUAUUUCUGUUAUAUGCAUGAUCAUGAUGAUAUUUUAAAAAUACAAAUACUGAAUUGACCCUGCUCUUACUGUUUUCCUGGAUGGACUGAAGCUUACUGUCAUUUGUAUUACUGUGAGAAUGGUAUUUUAGAGGGAGUCCUUUUAUUUAGAUUUACCUUUAUCAGGUAUAUACACAUGGACAACAUAUUGAAAAGGAAAAAUAAAAAAACAAUAAGGCAUACAAAAAUUGAAAUGAGCCUUAGCCUCCAGAUUGUUCAAUAAUUUAAAAACAAAGUCUUUAGAAUAAAAAAAAAAAAGCCAUUUAUAAUUUGAGAAAUUGGAACCAAAGUUUGUGGUAUAAAGUACAACAUUUAUGAACUGCAUUAAGCUAUAUGUAAUAAUCACCAACAUCGUAAAUGAAUAAAUAUGAAGGAUGAUACUGAAUCCUUUAGGGCCAUCAGUAGUGGUAUCCACUUAGUGGUUUCAUGAUAGUGUGUGUAGAAAUUCAAGUGUCAGAUAAAGUUUUACUCUUAACUUCAUGGAUGGAAAAUUCAUGAACAAAAGUAAUGGAAGAUUGUGAAUUAUCAACUUUGGAUAACUGGUAUUAAGACAUUUUGAUGUUAAAAACAAUAAGUAUUUGUACACUCAGUAGAUAAUAAACUAAAUGGUCUUGUAAGAAUAGCAGCAAAGUGGAAAUUAGAUAUAAGAUUGAAUUGUUACAAGGACAUUCUAUAUAAUAAAAAAUCAAUUGGAAAUAUGAGAACCUGCUAAUUUGUCUACUGAUAAACAAAUAAGAUUCUAAACUAAUGAUCAAUGAAACUGUGAAUACUAUAUCUUAUAUAUAUAUUUCUGAAUGAAAGGAGAUGUUAUUAAAAAGAUGAAACAUUUCAAUGAUAAAAAUGUCUUAUUGUAUAUUUGUAUUUGUUAUAUUUACAUUUAAAUAUGGGGGAGGUGAUUGAUAGUUAGGGACAAAAAGUAAAAUCACAAAAAUACUGAACUCCGAGGAAAAUUCAAGACGGAAGUCCCUAAAAAAUGAAAGAAGUAUAUAUACAGUAUGGGCUUUGCUCAUUGUUGAAGACCGCACAGUGACCUAUAGCUGUUUAUUUCUGUGUCAUUUGGUCUCUUGUGGAGAGUUGUCUCAUUGGCAAUCAUGCCACAUCUUUUUUAUAAGCAUUGUUUAAGUGUUUAUGACUCCAUUUAAUAAGAUAUCAGUGCCUUGCUUUUAAGACAUUGACAUUGUAAUUUGUUUUAAUCUACCAGAAUUUAAUACAUUGAUUUUCAGAAAACCACUGCUUAUGUGUUACGAAUGCAUGAAUUACCAGAUGUGUCUUUACCUGUGAACCUUUGAUUUAUAUUUCAAACAGAGUUACAUAUCAAACACUCAUAUAUGUAACUCCAAGGUAACAGGUCUGUUAGAAAAAUGAUCUACAGUGUUAACUUUUCAUUUCUGUAUUUAAUAUAAUCCUCUUUUUAUAGGCACAGAUACAGAUAAAGCUGAGGGGACAGAGAAACUUAACCAAGGGGAGAGUGUUAAUUCAGUGGUAACAACAGAAUUGUCACAGUGUACAACCAUUACUACACAAGCUGAAAUCACACCUGUUAGUUCAAGUGCUGACACACCAGGUAUGACAUAUCAUUACUACACAAGUUUAAAUCAUAUGUGUUAAUUCUGGUGAUGACACAUUAGGAAUACAUAACAACUUAAGCUGAAAUCCCCUGUUGGUUCAAGUUCUGACACACCAAUUAUGACAUGUCAGAACUAAACAAGAUGAAUUCACACCUGUUAGUUCAAGUGCUGACACACCAGGUAUGACAUAUAGGGGGAAGUCACAUCUGUUAGUGCAAUUACAAGUGCUGAUAGUAAUUAAACUGCCUUCAACAAUGAGCAAACCCAUACUGUGUAGUCAGCUGUAACAUCUGGCAGCAUGAAGCAUAACAAAAUGUAAAAUAAUAUGAACAAGAAAACCAAAGGCCUAAUUUAAAACUACACAUUUUAUGAUACACAACGAAGAUGCAAUAACAUGAACAAAAAAUUAUGAAUAACAGACAGACUUACCUAGUUUAAUAUCUCUGCACUUUUUAAAAAAACUUAGGGGAUAACAAGUUGUUAACAAGAAACAAAACAAGGUUCUUAAAACAGAUAAACAAUGUCUGCUUCACUCCAGCAGUGAGCUUUUUUCUGAUAAUGAGAAAACAAGGACAGGUUCAGACAGAAAGCUAUGGCCAGCAGGAAAAACUGUUCACCUAAAUAACUGAAUUACUUCAUCAGAUGACAAUAUGAAUAAUAAAAGUCCUGGCUAAAGAUAGACAUACUAAUUCAAUUCAGUCACAGACCACUUUUGCAAGUGAGUUCUAAUACAAAUAUAAGAUCAAAGAAAAGAUUAUAUUCCACUUUUGUUUUAGCUCUAACCACUGCACAGGCAAGACCUAUGGUAUUUCCUAAACAUCCCACUUUUGUUUUAGCUCUAACUACUGCACAGGCAAGACCUAUGGUAUUUCCUAAACAUCCCAAUGCUGAUAAACCUGAACCUGCUCCAAAGGAGGUUACCAUGGAAACAGCCAUUCCAACAAAAGAAGAAACUUCUACAACUAUAGAAGAUACAUCUGUAUCAGAUAAACCUUCAGCUGUAGAAGUUACAAAAAGUAGGCAUUUUAAUUGUAUUGUAUUUAUUUGGGGUAGCUUUUGUCUUUAUUUUACUCACACCCAUACACAUAGAUUAGACUGAAUAUAUAGGUACACAACAUCAAAACAAAACAAAUAACAGAGAAGAAUCAUCUAUGUUACAUCAGAUACAAAACUAGAACCAUCUAAAAAAUAACAGAUACCAAACAAAAACUACCUAUGGUAUUACAGAUACCAAACUAGAACCAUCUAUGAUACAACAGAUACAAAACUAGAACCAUCUAUAAAAUAACAGAUACCAAACAAAAACCACCUAUGAUAUUACAGAUACCAAACUAGAACCAACCAUCUAUAAAAUAACAGAUACCAAACAAAAACUACCUAUGGUAUUACAUAUACCAAAAUAGAACCAACCAUCUAUAAAAUAACAGAUACCAAACAAAAACUAGCUAUGGUAUUACAGAUACCAAAAUAGAACCAACCAUCUAUAAAAUAAGAUACCAAACAAAAACUACCUAUGGUAUUACAGAUACCAAACUAGAACCAUCUAUGAUACAACAGAUACAAAACUAGAACCAUCUAUACAGUAACAGAUACCAAACAAAAACCACCUAUGGUAUUACAGAUACCAAACUAGAACCAUCUAUAAAAUAACAGAUACCAAACAAAAACCACCUAUGGUAUUACAGAUACCAAACUAGAACCAUCUAUGAUACAUCAGAAACCAAACUAGAACCAUCUAUAAAAUAAGAUACCAAACAAAAACUACCUAUGGUAUUACAGGUACCAAAAUAGAACCAACCAUCUAUAAAAUAACAGAUACCAAACAAAAACUACCUAUGGCAUUACAGAUACCAAAAUAAAACCAACCAUCUAUAAAAUAACAGAAACAAAACAAAAACUACCUAUGGUAUUACAAAUACCAAGCUAGAACCAUCUAUGAUUCAACAGAUAUAAAACUAGAACCAUCUAUAAAAUAAGAUACCAGACAAAAACCACCUAUGGUAUUACAGAUACCAAAAUAGAACCAACCAUCUAUAAAAUAACAGAUACCAAACAAAUACCACCUAUGGUACUACAUAUAUCAAACUAGAACCAUCUAUACAGUAACAGAUACCAAACAAAAACCACCUAUGGUAUGACAGAUACCAAAAUAGAACCAUCUAUAAAAUAAAAGAUACCAAACAAAAACCAUCUAUGAAAUAACAGAUACCAAACAAAAACCAUCUAUAAAAUAACAGAUACCAAACAAAAACCAUCUAUGAUACAACAGAUACCAAAAUAGAACCAUCUAUAAUAUAAUAGAUACCAAACCAAAAACUUCUAUGAUACAUGAUAGACCAAACUAGAACCAUCUAUGAUACAGUCAAUACCAAUCAAAAACCAUUUAUGUACUGGUAUAUAAUUUAUCUUAAAUGAUACAUGUUGGGGCUAAGCAACAGAUAUAUUAUAUGUUUUGGUAAGUUGAUAGAUAAUGUCUAUACAUGAUAAGACCUAUAAGCUGAUGUAUAAACACCAAAUUUUCUUUCUUUAAGAAAAUUGUAUAUUUUUCAGAUAAUGAACAACAACAAGUAGAUAAUCAAGAACAAAGGAAUGGAAAGCAGGAAGAGGAGGAAGAAAAAGAGCCAGAAAUAAUAUAUCCUGAGGGAUACGCUCCUGUCCCUGCUAGUGAACCGGACUUGUCAUUAAUACCUAAAAAAAGUGCUUUGAAAGGGGCAGGUGGAGCAGGAGGAGGGGAUAUUAAGCCUGUCACGCCUGUGGCUAGAGAUAAAAAUGAUAAUCAUUCUCAUGUGAACUUUUCUCAUGUAGAUGUUAUAACUGCACCUCAGAUAUCAAAUGUGAUAAAACAGCCCUCACCAAAGCCUUCACCAAAAUCUACACCCUUAUCUAGUGCUAUGGCGCGGCCAAAACUUAGAGGUGGUUUAGCGUAA
rnacentral:lncRNA from 1 species